AUUGAACGCUGGCGGCAUGCUUUACACAUGCAAGUCGAACGGUAACAGGGUGCUUGCACCGCUGACGAGUGGCGAACGGGUGAGUAAUGCGUCGGAACGUGCCGAGUAGUGGGGGAUAACGCAGCGAAAGUUGUGCUAAUACCGCAUACGUACUGAGGUAGAAAGUGGGGGACCUUCGGGCCUCACGCUAUUCGAGCGGCCGACGUCUGAUUAGCUAGUAGGUGAGGUAAAGGCUCACCUAGGCGACGAUCAGUAGCGGGUCUGAGAGGAUGAUCCGCCACACUGGGACUGAGACACGGCCCAGACUCCUACGGGAGGCAGCAGUGGGGAAUUUUGGACAAUGGGCGAAAGCCUGAUCCAGCCAUGCCGCGUGUCUGAAGAAGGCUUUCGGGUUGUAAAGGACUUUUGUCAGGGAGGAAAUCCCUAGCGUUAAUACCGCUGGGGGAUGACAGUACCUGAAGAAUAAGCACCGGCUAACUCUGUGCCAGCAGCGCUGUAACAC
rnacentral:rRNA from 1 species